ACAUCCGGCACCGCCCGCCCACCGGCGCGCGCGCGCGAGUCCCCCCGCCGGCCCGCGCCGGUGGUGGAGUAACGGCCACACUGAGGCGCGGGCAGGGCGGGGCGCGCGGGCGCAAGUAGCUGCGUCGCCCUGCCGUGUCCCUACGUGCGCGGCUCUUGUUUUAUUUUCGUCUUCCUUUUCGCAUGGCGGGUGUCUGCUGCCUCGCGCGGCCCCGAGGACCUCGGAGAGGGGGAGCCGAAGGGGGGUCGCCAACCUGCGUGGCGCUUUUCAAGCAGCGCCCUUUACUCCGCGGGUUAUUUUUGAAGUCGGUUGCGCUGUUUUGUUUACAGAGCAGGGGAGAAAGGCUUCGUGCUUCAGAUCGGGUGUUUGGCCGUAGGCCCCUGCUCGGGAUGACUUGUGUCCCUGAAAGGCCUUCCCACACAGUGUCCCUCGAGGAAGGAAAUAAAGGCUUCAGUAUUUGUCUUCCACCCAUGGCCGAGUGAGAAGGGAAAUUGUAAAUGCUAAAAAUACUGCUUUCCAGUUUUCAAGGAGGGAUUGCAACCUCAGCAAAAUCCUUCCUGGAGAGAUACUCUUUUGCUCCAUCCUCUUCCAUCUGCCUUUCAAUUUCCUCUGUGUAUCUGCUGCUCCUAUCAAAGAGCAGGAAAGGGCAUAACAAGCUUCACUUGUGGUGGAGACAGCUGUACUGGGAGAAAAAUGAAGAAGAACUGGCAUGAACAUUGCUCCUUUUCUCUCUCCAAAUAUACCCUUGCUGGGAUGUUAAAAGGUGACUGCUCCAGUCAAAGCACCAGGAUUGUGUGAGACCAGAAGGAAAAAUGAAUUCCAGAAUGAGGAAUCUCCACUGACUGUGCCCUUUCCCAGCCUCUAGACAUUCAAAGCUAGAUACUGUAACCAGGAGCUUUACAGAUGAUUUUGACAGCUAAGCAAAAAGACUGAUAGACUCUGUCAGGUAACUAGGCCAGAUGAGCCACAUUCUCUGGAGAGUAAGGGAUUUGUUUUCACAGCGCAAUACUGCCUCAUGGAGAUGAUCAUUUACGCUGACUUUGCUGCAUUGAUACAGUUUUCCUAAGGAGUUGUACGACCAUGUAGCAAGUUGCUUUUUCACUGACACUACCUACACUCCGCAUACCACACCUUCAUUUGCACUUCUUGGCAACUCCUGCAUGGCAGCAUGUAGAUCCCUAUGCUGGCCUGGCAUAGCAGAUGGGACUCCUUGGCAUAUGCUCAAGAGUAGAAGCCAGGUUUUGUAAUAUUUUGCUGCGCAUUUUCAUGUGCUAGUAACAGGAGUAUAUAGUGCCUACUCCUGAGGUACAGCAUCACUCCUACUCACAUGCCAAGCCUUUUCUGAACACGCACAGCCAGCUGUGCAGCUGAGACAGUCAUUUUUCUCUGAUAUCUACAAAUACGGACUAGAGUAAAACUGUCAAACCUCCUUUCAGAUUCUGUGAAUAAAGAAGGAUCUGACCCCAAAUCUGCAGAUGUGAAAGCUAGUAUAAUAGUAUCAGCUAGUGCCUAUUCCUUGGGUAUUUGAUUUAAUUUCCUAGCUCCACAGCAUUUCUGUAGACUUUCAGGAUGGUUUUGAGUAAGGUUACUAAAACUGUCUUGGUGAUUAAUGAAUUCAAUAUUUCAUCCUUUUAUGCUUAGUUGCUAGUUAUUCCUUGUUUAUUCCUUUCUGAAAACGGGUGCUCUUUUCCAGAAAAGAAUGAAAGAAUAUGUAUUAAACAUGUAUGUGUUUAAUAUUCUUAUUUUCAUUUUCUUAAGAAACUGCUGUAUGGACAAAUCAUAGGCCACAUUUCUGACCAAUAAAUUACUCAGCCGACUCAAUAUAGCACUCCAUUACUCAGUAUAUCGCUUGUGGCAGUUGUGGUCUUUCCAUCACGGAAAGUCUGAGUAUGGAGUAAACAAACACUGUUAGAAAUGUGACACAAAAUGGACCCCGCUUAGGGGCAGAGUUGUAGACUGUAUCAAUGUUCAGCAUUUUUUUAGUUAAAAGAAUAAGCCAAACUUUAAGCAAAGAAAGAUCUUACUUGAUUCUGUCAUAGUAGUUUUCUUGUAUAACCAAAUAAGAUUUGGGCUGUUCACAUUUUACUCUUUUCACCAUUGUUUUUAUUUGUUUGCUUACAUUUGACUGUAUCUGUCACUAACAUUAGGUUUUUGCAAUCAUUCUGAGAUAGUGCCAUCUAAGAUCUGAUGAGCCAGCAGUCAUCCAUAGACAACCUAUUGAGAAACAUUGGACUAGAUAACUUCUAAAGGUCCUUUCUAUCCAUAUGCUUUACAACUCUGAUAAUAUGUUACCUGGCACCCUACCAGCACCAUUCACUCUAGAGCAGUAAGAAUAAGGAUAUGAGAUCUUCCUCCGGCCUUUUUACACACACUGUAAUAAGCUAGCCGGGCAAACAUAGAUGUUUACUGCUGCUGUCUGCAGUCCCUUCAUCUGAAUAUUGUUCUUUCCAUGACCUUUCUUUCUUGGAAACCAGCAAAUUUUGAGGCAAGGGAAUCAUCUGUAGAUUCUCAUUUAGUUCUACCUGUUUUAUUUCAGAUGAAAUGUCCCGAUUGACAAAACAAUGUGUAAUCUGUUUAAAGACCAGCCUGGAUGGAUACAGCUUUAUAACUAAUAUUUUAUGAGGUUUUUGUGAACUCUGACUGAAUAUGGAUGUCAGCAUGGGAAAUAUAUUUAAUCUUUCUGCACAGCUGUUUUUAUCAGCCUCCUUGUCAAGCAUUAAUAAACAGUUGAUAAAGCUCUCAGAGGAACCUGCCAUCAUGCAUACUGAAAUUGGUUUGUCCAACCUGUCCCUUCUGUUGCCUAGCAAAAGUUUAAUGCUUUAGUCUGAUCAGAGAGUUGGAGAAGACUUAGAAAAAUUCAGGAGUGGUUACAUGGGUGGCAGAGGUCUGACCUUAGGGCUUCAUCUCAUGUGAAACAAGAAGAUGACUUAUUACACUGGAAACAAGACCACUUUUUUAAUGCAAGACUGAUUUUUGCUGUUUGCUAAUCUUUAUCAAUAGCUCAACUGCUCCAGAUGGAAUAUCUGACUCACAGAUGGGGGCUGUAAGCAAAGUGAGGGCACAGCGCUUCCCACCAGACUGCAAGCUCAGAAGUCAGACUGUUUGCAGAAUAACUUGGUAAAGCCUGUUCUAGACUAAUGCUUUAAAAAGACUGGGCUAAAAACCUUCUCCCACUGAAAUCAGUAAGGGCAUUUCCAUCACCUUCAGCACAGCCAGGAUUUCUUGCUGAAGAAGGAGGAACUUAAUUUCAGAGUGACUUCCUUGACGACAGAGACCAUAUGCUAAUGAUUUACCUAGAAAGUUAUAUGAUUUCUCUAGUGCUUCGGAAUUUCUGUUUUUCAUUUCAGUCAAAAUUACUGUGUGUGUGUAGAAAAUACUUGUUCAGGACACAUUGCUACAAAGGAUAGACUUUGCUAUGUUUACCUGAUAUAAUGACUCAGUAGAACAACUGUGCCAUUGGGUAAAUGAUGUUUGGGGUGAAAAAUUUGACUUGUCCUUUGGCUGAAAAAGCGUAUGAGUAGUACUGAUCUUUGUUAAUUGUAGUCACUUUAGAACUUGAAAGGUACUUAGAGAGAGCCUCAGUACUGAAAAUACAUACACUGUUGAGUGAAAAAGGACAGUAUUUUAAGUGAACUUUUGUAUCAGUAUUUUGUGAUCUUGAAAAUGAUAUCACAAGAGUGAAAAGUUUUUUCCUUUGAAUGUAUGGCCAUUUUAAGGAAUGGCAUCUUACAGUAUGCUGGUUUUAUCAUGUCUUCAGCCAAUUCCAAGACAUUAAUGGCUUAAGAAGUUUGUCCCUGAUAGCUUAUGAUUUUCCCAGAGUACCUUCAUAGGAAAACGAAAUAAAAACUUUUCAUUAUUAAGAACUGAAAUUACUGAUGUGAAAGAUCAUUAAUCUAUAACACAGCACCAGUUAGCACAGUACACUCCCAAAGGCUCAGAGCCUGACUGUCUCAUUCUUCUUAGAGUCCCUCUCCAUCAGUUACAUUAUAUUUAGAUAAUAUUACAUCAAAUUCUGAUUUUUUUUUAUCCCAGUGUAAACCCAAAAGCCUGACAUGACAUUAUUGGAAGUACUUUGGAUUACACUGGAAAUUGUCCUCUGAUAGCUCUGUUUCAAAACUUUG